rnacentral:rRNA from 1 species
UACGUAGGGUGCGAGCGUUUGUCCGGAUUUAUUGGGCGUAAAGAGCUCGUAGGCGGCUUGUCGCGUCGACUGUGAAAUCCCGAGGCUCAACUUCGGGCUUGCAGUCGAUACGGGCAGGCUAGAGUUCGGUAGGGGAGACUGGAAUUCCGUGGUGUAGCGGUGAAAUGCGCAGGAUAUCAGGAGGAACACCGAUGGCGAAGGCAG